rnacentral:rRNA from 1 species
ACGCUCGACACCUACGGGAGGCAGCAGUGAGGAAUAUUGGUCAAUGGGCGCUAGCCUGAACCAGCCAAGUAGCGUGAAGGAUGAAGGCUCUAUGGGUCGUAAACUUCUUUUAUAUAAGAAUAAAGUGCAGUAUGUAUACUGUUUUGUAUGUAUUAUAUGAAUGAGGAUCGGCUAACUCCGUGCCAGCAGCCACGGUAAUCUGAGGCGGGCUGGCAAGGC